rnacentral:lncRNA from 10 species
CAGAUUAUCCAUUCUGGCUAUCAACUGGUUCAUCUGUACUUCAAUCAAUACUAAAUUCACAAUGUCUGCUGAGUCAGACCAGUUUUAUAUCCAUCUUUGGAAAUCUACCUGUAUUUCACUGAUCCCUUCUUUAAUGUUUCUACAAAGGAUCAACUGUCACCCGCACCCAGCAUCUCCUGCCAUAUCUGAAGUUUGGGUGACUCACUGACCCAACAGAAAUCAGUCUCCCUUUAGUGAUACCCCCUAUAUUCCUUUCUUUUUUUCAUUGCUUAGCAAUAGCACUGCCAGGGAAAUGGAAACAAACAAAAAAGGAGAAAAUCAACCCCCGUUUAUUUUUAUGUACAAUAAAGUUUUCAUGAAAGUGAAAUCAUAAUGCCUAAUGGUGACAAGAAUGCUUUUUAGUAAUGAGAGACUUUGUAAACCUUUCAAGUGCUUUAAAAAACGAUAUAUAAUAUUUGUACCUAUUUUGGGGGUACUUGUGAUAUUUUGAUACAUGUAUACUAUGUGAAAUCAAAUUAGGGUAAUUGGGGGUAUCCAUCACCUCAAAUAUAUAUCUUCUCUUUGUGUGGGGAACAUAAUAAUUCUUCUAGCUAUUUUGAAAUGUACAAUAAAUUAUGGUUAACUAUAAUUUCCCUAUUCUACUAUUGGAUACUACAACUUAUUCCAUCUAACUGUACCUGUCAAGUGUUUUUGAAUAAGAAACAUUUAACUGACUUUUUUUUAAAGAGAUGGGGUCUUGCUGUGUUGCGCGGGAUGAAUUUGAACUGAACUCCCUAGUAGCUGGGACUAAAGGCACAUACUUUUGAGUUUGGCUUAACUGACUUUGAAAGCUAUAAAAGUAGGGAUAGGUAAGAUCAGCUGAACAACAUGUCCAUUUGCAUAAUAGCAGAGUUCCUCCUUUAUCAGAAAUGUGCAAGUUUCCUUGUCCUUUAGAGUUUGAGUUGUGAGUUGAGAUAAUAUGUUUUUGCUACCAGCAAUCGUAAAUUAAAUCAACAUACCUACAAAUGGCUGUCCUAACAGGGAGUCAUCUAGUAUCCAAAGAACCACCAUUCCCUGCCCACUCCUAUUGCUCCUGGAUACCCACGCCACUUCACCUUCCUUCUCUUCUUCAUUACUGAUUAGUAGAAUGUGUGGCUGCUAUCUUCCCAAACUCAAUAAUAAGGUCACCAAAGCUGCCAGGGAUCUGUGGUUCCCAGGCAUCCUAUUCUUGCUGAAUUACCACUCCUGCUACUCACUCCUUCAACCCUAAUCAGGGUCCUUCACUCCAACUUUCCACUCCAUUACUAUCAGCCUCUGCCUAAGCUAGAUACUUAUCCUUUCCUGAAACAUCUGCCAAUUCUCUCUCUCACUUUGUAACAUGAAAAUGUAACCCUGUCUCCCUAAAACUACAAGCAGUAUUAGUUCAACACCAAAGAAUCUGCACUUUGCCCUUAAACCAUCUAUGCUCCUUUGUUAGGAAGGAGAAUAAGGUUUGACUCCUAAUUCUGUGUCUGAGCAAGAAAAGGUGCUUUUUUUUUAUUUCAUAUUUUCUUUUAUUUAUUAUUAUUAUACUUUAAGUUUUAGGGUACAUGUGCACAAUGUCC